UACGUAGGUGGCAAGCGUUGUCCGGAAUUAUUGGGCGUAAAGCGCGCGCAGGCGGUCCUUUAAGUCUGAUGUGAAAGCCCACGACUCAACCGUGGAGGGUCAUUGGAAACUGGGGGACUUGAGUGCGAAGAGGAAAGCGGAAUUCCACGUGUAGCGGUGAAAUGCGUAGAGAUGUGGAGGAACACCAGUGGCGAAGGCGGCUUUCUGGUCUGUAACUGACGCUGAGGCGCGAAAGCGUGGGGAGCAAACAGG
rnacentral:rRNA from 1 species